UACGGAGGGUGCAAGCGUUAUCCGGAUUCACUGGGUUUAAAGGGUGCGUAGGUGGGCAGGUAAGUCAGUGGUGAAAUCUCCGGGCUUAACCCGGAAACUGCCGUUGAUACUAUUUGUCUUGAAUAUUGUGGAGGUAAGCGGAAUAUGUCAUGUAGCGGUGAAAUGCUUAGAUAUGACAUAGAACACCAAUUGCGAAGGCAGCUUACUACACAACGAUUGACGCUGAGGCACGAAAGCGUGGGGAGCGAACAGG
rnacentral:rRNA from 1 species